UGCCCCAUGGCUGAGUUGGUUACAGCGUCCGACUGUUAUCUUUCGAUUGCAAUCGGAAGGUCGUGAGUUCGAGCCUCACUGGGGCAG